rnacentral:lncRNA from 1 species
ACUACACCCUCCCCCACCCACCGCCUCAGCAACCAACCUCCAGGGAGGGGAAAGGGGGCAGAAGUUUGAGUUAAUAACUAAUAGCUAAAGAUGUAAACAAUAAGCCUCCAUAAAACCCCAAAAGGACUGGACUGGGUUCUGAGAGAUUCCAGGUUGUUGAGCACGUGGAGGUUCUGGGAGGGUCCACACCCAGAGAAGGCAUGGAAGCUGACCCCUUCCCCAUACCUUGCUCUUUGCAUCUCUUCCAUUUUGCUGUUCCCGAGUUGUAUACUUUGUAAUAAGUGGGAUUUCCACUCAACAACAAUUCAGCCACACUGCUUCACACAUCUAGAAUCCAUCCAAAAUUGUAAAGGCUUUGUGGCACUACAGUGAAAGAGGGAAGAACAUCUUCCAAACAUCCAGCACAAGAGCACACAGGAGGCCGGCAUAAUCACGAAUUGCAGCUGUCUGAAGGGCAGUCACAUAAAAGAGGAGAAGCUUCACCUUUGCUUCACAAGGCACAUCUUGAACCAGGGAUGGAAAUUACAGAGAGGCCAAAACCAGCUCGGUGUGAGCAGGACUGGUAACAGACUGGCC